rnacentral:rRNA from 1 species
CCCGCUGAACUUAAGCAUAUUACUCAGCGGAGGAAAAGAAAACAACCGUGAUUCCCUCAGUCAGCGGCGAGCGAAGAGGGACCGAACUCGUUGCCGAAUCGGGUCUCAAAGGCCUUGAGUUGUGGCAAAAACGCUUUUCUGUGAUUGGUGCGGGACUGGCAAAAUUCAAGCGCAAAGCAAACCCAUUGCUGAAUACAACCCUUCAUGUGAGUAUUGAGCCAAAGAAGGUGUUAGCCCAUUGAGCCAUAAACCCGAGCACCUCACUUGAGAAGUACCAAGAGAGUAGCACUGUUUGGAAAUGCAGUGUCAAGAGGCAGGUAUGUGUCUGCCAAAGUUAAAUAUAGAGUAGGAAGACCGAUAUCGAACAAGUAGCGUGAGCGAAAGUUUGAAAAGCACUUUGGAAAGAGAGUGACAUAGAACCUGAAGUCGUGACAAUGAUAAUGGAAGUACCUCCAUUUCACCGGCCAAAACCAGCCUGGCAGCAUUUUCUUCGUGGGGUUUAAAAUCCGCGGGGUAACAAAGUGCAAGAUUCAGGGCAUUGGUGUUAAUGGGCGGGGAAAAAGCUUGUGGCACCGCUUGCGGCGAGCUGCUUGUCUUCCCUGUGACGCUCAAUUUUGGCGAAGGAAAUGGGGUGCCUUCACCCGUCUUGAAACACGG